GCUCCCAAACUUUGAAGUUAUUAUUUCAUGUUUCUUAUUUUAGAUGGGUGGGUGAGUUUAAUGGUCACGNGUGGCGUUUAGCGCACCAAUGAACACAUUUGGCCAUUGAAUUGUUGAGUAAAAAGAUCAUUUAGGUGCUUUCAUGUGAGUUAGAUGAGCUCCACAACCAUUGCUGGUCAUUUUCUGCCCUAGUAAUCGAUUACAAGACCCUUGUAAUCGAUUACCAGAAGAAAAAUGGUCAUUUGUACCGAAACUUCAACUAUGCUUCCGACUUGGAUGAACAACGCUCCCUAACUUUGUUUUUUUGACCUUUGCUGCUUGUUUUGUUCUUAACUUUCUCCGCCGAACUCCAAAGGAGUUGAUUCCUUUUUUGUUGGAAUCUAGACUCAAAGAGCUUUCAAAUGACUACUAACUCAUAAUUUUUAGACCAUUGUACUCGUUGCAGUUAAUAUCCCAAUAAAAAAACGUUUUUCUAAGCUUCCUAAAUGAGUUUACUUUGAAGUUAUUGUUUCAUGUUUCUUAUUUUAGAUGGGUGGGUGAGUUUAAUGGUCACGGGUGGCGUUUAGCGAACCAAUGAACACAUUAGGCCAUUGAAUUGUUGAGUAAAAAGAUCAUUUAGGUGCUUUCUUGUGAGUUAGAUGAGCUCCACAAGCAUUGUUGGUCAUUUUCUGCCCUGGUAAUCGAUUACAAGAAAAAUGAUCAUUUGUACCAAAACUUCAACUAUGCUCCCGACCUGGAUGAACAACGCUCCCCAACUUUGUUUUUCUGACCUUCGAUGCUUGUUUUGUUCUUAACUUUCUCCGCCAAACUCCAAAUGAGUUGAUUCUUGUUUUGUUGGAAUCUAGACUCAAAGAGCUUUCAAAUGACUACUAACUCAUAAUUUUUAGACUACUGCACUCGAUGCAGUUAAUUUUUGAAAAAAAAAACGUUUUUUUAAGCUUCCUAAAUGAGUUUACUUUCAAAUUAUUGUUUCAUGUUUCUUAUUUUAGAUGGGUGGGUGAGUUUAAUGGUCACGGGUGGUGUUUAGUGCACCAAUGAACACAUUAGGCCAUUGAUUUCGUAAAAAAAAAUGUUCAUUUAGAAGGUGGUUUUCUCCAAUCGAGGUGAUGUGUAUAACCAUUGUUUCCUUUUUGAAGACCUAGUAAAGAAUUCAAAAUAUAAGUAAAAUUCGGUUUGUUGGAAACCCAAUUCCAAUAUACUUUUCCUAUAAAUACUUAAAAAAUAAAAUU
rnacentral:lncRNA from 1 species